UACGGAGGAUGCGAGCGUUAUCCGGAUUUAUUGGGUUUAAAGGGUGCGUAGGCGGACGCUUAAGUCAGCGGUAAAAUUGCGGGGCUCAACCUCGUCGAACCGUUGAAACUGGGUGCCUUGAGUGGGCGAGAAGUACGCGGAAUGCGUGGUGUAGCGGUGAAAUGCAUAGAUAUCACGCAGAACUCCGAUUGCGAAGGCAGCGUACCGGCGCCCAACUGACGCUGAAGCACGAAGGCGUGGGUAUCGAACAGG
rnacentral:rRNA from 1 species